GUGCUCACUUUGGCAGCACGUACACUAAAAUUGGAACAACAUACAGAUUACAAUAGCAUGGCCCCUGCACAAGAAAGAAAGAUACAUACAAAUUCCAUAAACCAUUUCA
ensembl:snRNA U6 U6 spliceosomal RNA